rnacentral:rRNA from 1 species
AGAGUUUGAUCCUGGCUCAGAAUCAACGCUGGCGGCGUGCCUAACACAUGCAAGUCGAACGCGAAAGUCCCGCAAGGGAUAAGUAGGGUGGCAAACGGGUGAGUAACACGUGGGUGACCUGCCUUCGAGCGGGGGAUAACGUCCCGAAAGGGACGCUAAUACCGCAUAACAUCCUGCCUUUUAAGAGGUGGAGAUCAAAGCCGGGGAUCGCAAGACCUGGCACUUGAAGAGGGGCCCGCGCCUGAUUAGCUAGUUGGUGGGGUAAUGGCUCACCAAGGCAACGAUCAGUAUCCGGCCUGAGAGGGCGGACGGACACACUGGGACUGAGACACGGCCCAGACUCCUACGGGAGGCAGCAGUGGGGAAUUGUUCGCAAUGGGCGCAAGCCUGACGACGCAACGCCGCGUGGAGGAUGAAGACCUUCGGGUCGUAAACUCCUUUCGAUCGAGACGAAUGGUCUCCGGGUGAAUAAUCUGGAGAAGUGACGGUACCGAGAGAAGAAGCCCCGGCUAACUCCGUGCCAGCAGCCGCGGUAAUACGGGGGGGGCAAGCGUUGUUCGGAAUUACUGGGCGUAAAGGGCUCGUAGGUUGCCAACUAAGUCAGACGUGAAAUCCCUCAGCUUAACUGGGGGAACUGCGUCUGAUACUGGAUGGCUUGAGUUUUGGG